GGGAGGAGCAGGCUCCAUGCAGAGAGCUUGUCGUGGGACUCGAUCCAGGGUCUCCAGGAUCACACCUUGGGCUGCAGGUGAUGCUAAACUGCUGCGCCACCAGGGCUGCCCAGUUAUGCUUAAAUAAUUAAUAAAUAAGAUAAAAUACCUCUCAGAAGUUUCUAGUAGGGCAAACUUUUUUUUUUUUAAGAUUUAUUUUAUUUGUUUUAGAGAGACAGAGAGAGUGCACUGUGAGGCAGCGGGAGGGGCAGAGGGAGAGGACCUCAAGUAGACCCCAUGCUCAGUGCAGAGCCUGACACCAGGCUCAAUCUCACCACUCUGAGAUCAUAACCUGAGCUGAAAUCAAGAGUUGGACACUCAACCAACUGAACCACCCAGGUACUCCUAGGGGCACUUUUUAAUAUUUGAUUUUUUCCCUCAUAUCUGUGAAAUGGAACUCUUUCCUCAAGUAUAUAUAUGUGCAAAAUAUCUGGUUCUGUUUUUCAAUAUUUGUGUGAUUUGUUUCCUUUACUUACCAAAAAAGCAGCACAAUGCUUGGUGGUCUUUGUAAUUUGGAAGGAGCAUAUACAUUUACUCCAGACCUUUAACUGAGUGGCCUAAAAGUUUGCCUUCCAGCUUAGAGUGGUUUUCAGAGCACAAGAAGGCUCUUUAGCUGGGCCAGCAGAUCUGCUGUAUAUCUUUUAAGACCCAUGAGAUCCAGUGAUGCUUGGGUGGUUCAGUUGGUUAAGCAUCUGACUCUUGAUCUCAGGAUUGUGAGUUCAAGCUCUGCAUUGGGCACCACACUGGGCAUGGAUCCUUCUUUUAUUUUAUUAUUUUAAAAAGAUUUUAUUUAUUUAUUUAUUCAUGAGAAAGAGAGAGAGAGAGAGAGACAGACAGACAGACAGAGAUGCAGGCAGAGGGAGAAGCAGGUUCCCCAGGAGGAGCCCAAUGUGGGACCCGAUCCCACCCCCUGAGCUAAAGGCAGACACUCAACCACUGAGCCACCCAGACAUCCAUGGAUCCUUCUUUUAAAAAAGAAGAAAAGAGGGGAGCCAGGAUGGCUCAGUCGGUUAAGCAUCUGACCCUUGAUUUUGGCUCAGGUCAUGAUCUCAGGGUAAUGAGAUCAACCCUCACCAUGUGCACUGGGUGUGAAGCCUGCUUAAGAUUCUCUCUCUCUCUCCCUCUGUACACCAACUUACACUCUCUCUCUAAAAAAAAAAAAAAAA
rnacentral:lncRNA from 1 species